AAUAGAUACCCUGGUAGUCCAUGCCGUAAACGUUGGGCACUAGGUGUGGGGCUCAUUCCACGAGUUCCGUGCCGCAGCAAACGCAUUAAGUGCCCCGCCUGGGGAGUACGGCCGCAAGGCUAAAACUCAAAGGAAUUGACGGGGGCCCGCACAAGCGGCGGAGCAUGCGGAUUAAUUCGAUGCAACGCGAAGAACCUUACCAAGGCUUGACAUGCACGGGAAGCCACCAGAGAUGGUGGUCUCUUUGGACACUCGUGCACAGGUGGUGCAUGGUUGUCGUCAGCUCGUGUCGUGAGAUGUUGGGUUAAGUCCCGCAACGAGCGCAACCCUCGUCCCAUGUUGCCAGCGGGUUAUGCCGGGGACUCAUGGGAGACUGCCGGGGUCAACUCGGAGGAAGGUGGGGAUGACGUCAAAUCAUCAUGCCCCUUAUGUCUUGGGCUUCACGCAUGCUACAAUGGCCGGUACAAAGGGCUGCGAUACCGUAAGGUGGAGCGAAUCCCGAAAAGCCGGUCUCAGUUCGGAUUGGGGUCG
rnacentral:rRNA from 1 species